rnacentral:tRNA from 1 species
GGCCCCGUCGUCCAGCGGUCAGGACACCGGCCUUUCAAGCCGGGAACACGGGUUCGAGUCCCGUCGGGGUCACCA